UCUGCUUGCCCUUAAAGACCCAUUGCUGGUUGCAACAUAUUGAGGCCAGAAACAAACAAAAAUAUUCCCCGACAAGGCUCACUCGAUGGAUCUGCAAAGGGUUGUAUCUUUGGACUUGUGGUCGGUCUCCCUCGAAUAACUGUUGGCAACAUCAAGCGUCAACAGUCAACAGUCAACAGUUACAUCCUCCGCACAAACAAUCUAAAAACCGUUCAUGGUCAUUGUGCCAUAAAUGGCAAACGAAACGAAAUUGAAAUUAAGCAAAUGAGUGGGAAACCAGACAGACUGUGCGAUGUAUGAGAUGAGGCAACAAAAGGAGAAGAACGGCAGCAACAGCAGCAGCAGCAAGAGCGGUGGGAGCAAGCUCAGAAAAACAAGUUGCUGUCUCCGAGGUCCAAAAGUCUAGCGGAUCAGCAGCGGCGGCGGCGGCAGCGGCGGCGCAGCGAAGGCGGAUGCGCACCUUAGAAGCCAAAUGAGGAGCUCUAGCGGAUGCUGUGCCUCUUCAACUGGGCCAAAAACCAAAGCAGCUUCCAACCAAUGACAGACAAUGCCUGCAGCUUGGUUGGGGCCGGGGAAUGGGUUUGGGUUGGCGUUGUUGGCCCACAUGUCCCACGCUUGAAUUUACAUGCACGCACAGGCAUACAGGCACAGACGUGCACAGACAGGCACGGCACACACAUAUCCAAGGCAGCUAACGGUACACUCUUUACGCAAUCCCAAGCCAAGAAUGUGGAAAAAGAGACAGCGAGAGAGAAAGAAAGCAGAAAGCGUCGUCAAUGGAAAAGGGAGAGAAAGGGUUUUCUUUCAAAUCCGCUGGUAUCAUAAAAAUAAAUAAAAUAAAAUAAAAAAAAGCCCGCGCGACGCUUUCAACAUCCACAGAAAGAAACAGAAUGAAAGAGAAAGAGAG